rnacentral:rRNA from 1 species
AACGCCUGGCGGCGUGCCUAAUACAUGCAAGUCGAGCGAGCGGAACUAACAGAUUUACUUCGGUAAUGACGUUAGGAAAGCGAGCGGCGGAUGGGUGAGUAACACGUGGGGAACCUGCCCCAUAGUCUGGGAUACCACUUGGAAACAGGUGCUAAUACCGGAUAAGAAAGCAGAUCGCAUGAUCAGCUUUUAAAAGGCGGCGUAAGCUGUCGCUAUGGGAUGGCCCCGCGGUGCAUUAGCUAGUUGGUAAGGUAAAGGCUUACCAAGGCGAUGAUGCAUAGCCGAGUUGAGAGACUGAUCGGCCACAUUGGGACUGAGACACGGGCCAAACUCCUACGGGAGGCAGCAGUAGGGAAUCUUCCACAAUGGACGCAAGUCUGAUGGAGCAACGCCGCGUGAGUGAAGAAGGUUUUCGGAUCGUAAAGCUCUGUUGUUGGUGAAGAAGGAUAGAGGUAGUAACUGGCCUUUAUUUGACGGUAAUCAACCAGAAAGUCACGGCUAACUACGUGCCAGCAGCCGCGGUAAUACGUAGGUGGCAAGCGUUGUCCGGAUUUAUUGGGCGUAAAGCGAGCGCAGGCGGAAGAAUAAGUCUGAUGUGAAAGCCCUCGGCUUAACCGAGGAACUGCAUCGGAAACUGUUUUUCUUGAGUGCAGAAGAGGAGAGUGGAACUCCAUGUGUAGCGGUGGAAUGCGUAGAUAUAUGGAAGAACACCAGUGGCGAAGGCGGCUCUCUGGUCUGCAACUGACGCUGAGGCUCGAAAGCAUGGGUAGCGAACAGGAUUAGAUACCCUGGUAGUCCAUGCCGUAAACGAUGAGUGCUAAGUGUUGGGAGGUUUCCGCCUCUCAGUGCUGCAGCUAACGCAUUAAGCACUCCGCCUGGGGAGUACGACCGCAAGGUUGAAACUCAAAGGAAUUGACGGGGGCCCGCACAAGCGGUGGAGCAUGUGGUUUAAUUCGAAGCAACGCGAAGAACCUUACCAAGUCUUGACAUCUAGUGCCAUUUGUAGAGAUACAAAGUUCCCUUCGGGGACGCUAAGACAGGUGGUGCAUGGCUGUCGUCAGCUCGUGUCGUGAGAUGUUGGGUUAAGUCCCGCAACGAGCGCAACCCUUGUUAUUAGUUGCCAGCAUUAAGUUGGGCACUCUAAUGAGACUGCCGGUGACAAACCGGAGGAAGGUGGGGAUGACGUCAAGUCAUCAUGCCCCUUAUGACCUGGGCUACACACGUGCUACAAUGGGCAGUACAACGAGAAGCGAGCCUGCGAAGGCAAGCGAAUCUCUGAAAGCUGUUCUCAGUUCGGACUGCAGUCUGCAACUCGACUGCACGAAGCUGGAAUCGCUAGUAAUCGCGGAUCAGCACGCCGCGGUGAAUACGUUCCCGGGCCUUGUACACACCGCCCGUCACACCAUGGGAGUCUGCAAUGCCCAAAGCCGGUGGCCUAACUUUCGGGAAGGAGCUGUCUAAGGCAGGGCAGAUGACUGGGGUGAAGUCGUAACAAGGAGCGUAGGAGAAC